AGUAACUGCGAGUGAAGCGGCAAAAGCUCAAAUUUGAAAUCGGUGUGCAUAAAGUACAUCGAGUUGUAAUUUGGAGGGACAACUUCGGGCCGAACCACACCGUAAGUUUUUUGGAACAGGACAUCAUAGAGGGUGAGAAUCCCGUGUCUUGGUGUAGGGUCAAAUGUGAAGUGUCUCCGACGAGUCGAGUUGUUUGGGAAUGCAGCUCAAAAUGGGUGGUAAAUUUCAUCUAAAGCUAAAUAUUGGCGAGAGACCGAUAGCGCACAAGUAGAGUGAUCGAAAGAUGAAAAGCACUUUGAAAAGAGAGUUAAAAAGUACGUGAAAUUGUUGAAAGGGAAGCGCUUGCGACCAGACUCGAUCUUUGGGGAUCAGCCGGGCUUCUGUUCGGUGCCCUCUCCAUUGGUUGGGCCAGCAUCGGUUCCGACGGUGGGAUAAAAGGAGGCGGAAUGUGGCUCCCCUCGGGGAGUGUUAUAGCCACCUUCACAAUGCUACCAGUUGGGACCGAGGACCGCGCUUCGGCUAGGAUGCUGGUGUAAUGGUCUUAAGCGACCCGUCUUGAAACACGGACCAAGGAGUCUAACAUCUAUGCGAGUGUU
rnacentral:rRNA from 1 species